UUAAAGGUUUUUUUUAAAACCAUAUUUUUCUUCAUCUAUAUUGAAG
rfam:Nicotiana sylvestris Nsyl_contig14628, whole genome shotgun sequence.